rnacentral:rRNA from 1 species
GAUGAACGCUGACAGAAUGCUUAACACAUGCAAGUCUACUUGAACUUCGGUUUGGGUGGCGGACGGGUGAGUAACGCGUAAAGAACUUGCCUCACAGUUAGGGACAACAUUUGGAAACGAAUGCUAAUACCUGAUAUUAUGAUUUUAGGGCAUCCUAAGAUUAUGAAAACUAUAUGUGCUGUGAGAGAGCUUUGCGUCCCAUUAGCUAGUUGGAGAGGUAACGGCUCACCAAGGCGAUGAUGGGUAGCCGGCCUGAGAGGGUGAACGGCCACAAGGGGACUGAGACACGGCCCUUACUCCUACGGGAGGCAGCAGUGGGGAAUAUUGGACAAUGGACCAAAAGUCUGAUCCAGCAAUUCUGUGUGCACGAUGACGUUUUUCGGAAUGUAAAGUGCUUUCAGUUGGGAAGAAAAAAAUGACGGUACCAACAGAAGAAGUGACGGCUAAAUACGUGCCAGCAGCCGCGGUAAUACGUAUGUCACAAGCGUUAUCCGGAUUUAUUGGGCGUAAAGCGCGUCUAGGUGGUUAUGUAAGUCUGAUGUGAAAAUGCAGGGCUCAACUCUGUAUUGCGUUGGAAACUGCAUGACUAGAGUACUGGAGAGGUAAGCGGAACUACAAGUGUAGAGGUGAAAUUCGUAGAUAUUUGUAGGAAUGCCGAUGGGGAAGCCAGCUUACUGGACAGAUACUGACGCUAAAGCGCGAAAGCGUGGGUAGCAAACAGGAUUAG